rnacentral:rRNA from 1 species
CCUACGGGGGGCAGCAGUGGGGAAUAUUGCACAAUGGGGGAAACCCUGAUGCAGCGACGCCGCGUGAGUGAAGAAGUAUCUCGGUACGUAAAGCUCUAUCAGCAGGGAAGAAAAUGACGCUACCUGACUAAUAAUCCCCGUCUAAAUUCGUGCCAGCAGCCGGGGUAAUACGUAGGGGGCAGGCGUUAUCCGGAUUUACUGGGUGUAAUGGGAGCGUAGUCGGCAGCACUAGUCUGGAGUGAAAUCGCGGGGCUUAACCCCGGAACUGCUUUGGAAACUGUGCGGCUGGAGUGCAGGCGAGGUAAGCGGAAUAAGUAAUGUAGCGGUGAAAUGCGUAGAUAUUAGGUGGAACACCGGUAGCGAAGGCGGCUUACUAGACUGUAACUGACGUUGAGGCUCGAGAGCGUGGGGAGCAAACAGGAUUAGAUACCCGGGUAGUC